rnacentral:tRNA from 1 species
GGAGUUAUAGCUCAGAGGUAGAGUGCUUGCCUCACAUGCAUGAAGCCCUGGGUUUGAUCCUUAGCACCA